GAGGGUAUGGCUCAGUGGUAGAGUGUGUGCUUAGCAUGCAUGAGGUCCUGGAUUCAACUCUCAGUAUCUCUA
rnacentral:tRNA from 1 species